rnacentral:tRNA from 1 species
GAGUAAGAAUUGAUUGAUCAAGUCCAGCUUCGACCUGGGUUUAGGCCUCCCGGCCCUCACUCU